UUUCCGUAGGUGAACCUGCGGAAGGAUCAUUAUUGUAUAACCGAGGUGCGAAGGCUGUCGUCGACCCGACAGGCCGAGCACGCACGAGUGUCCUCAUACCCAUCCAUCACACACCGACGUGAACCACUGCGUGGGUCCCCCUAUGGCCUGUUCGGAGGGGGGUUUACGUUUUCACACAAACUAAGUAUGCAGUGUUGUGUGUAUCAUUUGUUUUUGCGAUAAUGCAAUCUAUAAAACUUUCCACAACGGAUCCCUUGCAUCCCGCAUCGAUGAAGAAGG
rnacentral:misc_RNA from 1 species